GGGAAUGUGGCUUAGUGGUAGAGUACUUGCCUAGCAUGCAUGAGGCCCUGGGUUCAAUUCCUCAGUACCA
rnacentral:tRNA from 1 species